rnacentral:rRNA from 1 species
GACGAACGCUGGCGGCGUGCUUAACACAUGCAAGUCGAACGGAAAGGCCCUUCGGGGUACUCGAGUGGCGAACGGGUGAGUAACACGUGGGUGAUCUGCCCUGCACUUUGGGAUAAGCCUGGGAAACUGGGUCUAAUACCGAAUAUGAUCAUCAGCUUCAUGGUUGGUGGUGGAAAGCUUUUGCGGUGUGGGAUGGGCCCGCGGCCUAUCAGCUUGUUGGUGGGGUAAUGGCCUACCAAGGCGACGACGGGUAGCCGGCCUGAGAGGGUGACCGGCCACAGUGGGACUGAGGUACAGCCCAGACUCCUACGGGAGGCAGCAGUGGGGAAUAUUGCACAAUGGGCGCAAGCCUGAUGCAGCGACGCCGGGUGAGGGAUGACGGCCUUCGGGUUGUAAACCUCUUUCAGCACAGACGAAGCGCAAGUGACGGUAUGUGCAGAAGAAGGACCGGCCAACUACGUGCCAGCCGCCGCCGUAAUAC